rnacentral:rRNA from 1 species
CCUACGGGAGGCAGCAGUGGGGAAUCUUCCGCAAUGGGCGAAAGCCUGACGGAGCAACGCCGCGUGAGGGAUGAAGGCCUCUGGGCUGUAAACCUCUUUUCUCAAGGAAGAAGAUCUGACGGUACUUGAGGAAUAAGCCACGGCUAAUUCCGUGCCAGCAGCCGCGGUAAUACGGGAGUGGCGAGCGUUAUCCGGAAUUAUUGGGCGUAAAGCGUCCGCAGGCGGCCCUUCAAGUCUGCUGUUAAAAAGUGGAGCUUAACUCCAUCAUGGCAGUGGAAACUGUUGGGCUUGAGUGUGGUAGGGGCAGAGGGAAUUCCCGGUGUAGCGGUGAAAUGCGUAGAUAUCGGGAAGAACACCAGUGGCGAAGGCGCUCUGCUGGGCCAUAACUGACGCUCAUGGACGAAAGCCAGGGGAGCGAAAGGGAUUAGAUACCCCUGUAGUCCUGGCCGUAAACGAUGAACACUAGGUGUCGGGGGAAUCGACCCCCUCGGUGUCGUAGCCAACGCGUUAAGUGUUCCGCCUGGGGAGUACGCACGCAAGUGUGAAACUCAAAGGAAUUGACGG